CCUACGGGUGGCAGCAGUAGGGAAUCUUUCACAAUGGGCGAAAGCCUGAUGGAGCAACGCCGCGUGCAGGAUGAAGGCCUUCGGGUUGUAAACUGCUUUUAUAAGCGAGAAAUAUGAUGGUAACUUAUGAAUAAGGAUCGGCUAACUACGUGCCAGCAGCCGCGGUCAUACGUAGGAUCCGAGCAUUAUCCGGAGUGACUGGGUGUAAAGAGUUGCGUAGGUGGCAUAAUAAGUAGCUAGUGAAAUCUGGUGGCUCAACCAUUCAGACUAUUAGCUAAACUGUUAAGCUCGAGACCGUUAGGGGUAACGGGAAUUUCUAGUGUAGGAGUGAAAUCCGUAGAUAUUAGAAGGAACACCAAUAGCGUAGGCAGGUUGCUGGGACGGUUCUGACACUAAGACACGAAAGCGUAGGGAGCAAACGGGAUUAGAUACCCCAGUAGUC
rnacentral:rRNA from 1 species